CCUAACGGCGUGCCUCGGCAUCAGCG
rnacentral:siRNA from 1 species